rnacentral:rRNA from 1 species
AGAGUUUGAUCAUGGCUCAGAACGAACGCUGGCGGCAGGCCUAACACAUGCAAGUCGAGCGCUGUAGCAAUACAGAGCGGCGCACGGGUGAGUAACACGUGGGAACAUGCCCUUCGGUUCGGAAUAACUCAGGGAAACUUGAGCUAAUACCGGAUACGCCCUUACGGGGAAAGAUUUAUCGCCGAUCGAGUGGCCCGCGUAGGAUUAGCUAGUUGGUGGGGUAAAAGCCUACCAAGGCGACGAUCCUUAGCUGGUUUGAGAGAACGACCAGCCACACUGGGACUGAGACACGGCCCAGACUCCUACGGGAGGCAGCAGUGGGGAAUCUUGGACAAUGGGGGAAACCCUGAUCCAGCCAUGCCGCGUGAGUGAUGAAGGCCCUAGGGUUGUAAAACUCUUUCGCGCACGACGAUAAUGACGGUAGUGCGAGAAGAAGCUCCGGCUAACUUCGUGCCAGCAGCCGCGGUAAUACGAAGGGGGCUAGCGUUGUUCGGAAUUACUGGGCGUAAAGCGCGCGCAGGCGGUCCUUCAAGUCAGAGGUGAAAGCCCAGGGCUUAACCCUGGAACUGCCUUUGAAACUAGAGGACUUGGGUACGGGAGAGGUGAGUGGAAUUCCGAGUGUAGAGGUGAAAUUCGUAGAUAUUCGGAAGAACACCAGUGGCGAAGGCGGCUCACUGGCCCGUUACCGACGCUCAGGCGCGACAGCGUGGGGAGCAAACAGGAUUAGAUACCCUAGUAGUCC